AGGUGGGAGGCUUUGAAGUGUGGACGCCAGUCUGCAUGGAGCCGACCUUGAAAUACCACCCUUUAAUGUUUGAUGUUCUAACGUUGGCCCGUAAUCCGGGUUGCGGACAGUGUCUGGUGGGUAGUUUGACUGGGGCGGUCUCCUCCUAAAGAGUAACGGAGGAGCACGAAGGUUGGCUAAUCCUGGUCGGACAUCAGGAGGUUAGUGCAAUGGCAUAAGCCAGCUUGACUGCGAGCGUGACGGCGCGAGCAGGUGCGAAAGCAGGUCAUAGUGAUCCGGUGGUUCUGAAUGGAAGGGCCAUCGCUCAACGGAUAAAAGGUACUCCGGGGAUAACAGGCUGAUACCGCCCAAGAGUUCAUAUCGACGGCGGUGUUUGGCACCUCGAUGUCGGCUCAUCACAUCCUGGGGCUGAAGUAGGUCCCAAGGGUAUGGCUGUUCGCCAUUUAAAGUGGUACGCGAGCUGGGUUUAGAACGUCGUGAGACAGUUCGGUCCCUAUCUGCCGUGGGCGCUGGAGAACUGAGGGGGGCUGCUCCUAGUACGAGAGGACCGGAGUGGACGCAUCACUGGUGUUCGGGUUGUCAUGCCAAUGGCACUGCCCGGUAGCUAAAUGCGGAAGAGAUAAGUGCUGAAAGCAUCUAAGCACGAAACUUGCCCCGAGAUGAGUUCUCCCUGAGACUUAGAGUCUCCUGAAGGAACGUUGAAGACGACGACGUUGAUAGGCCGGGUGUGUAAGCGCAGCGAUGCGUUGAGCUAACCGGUACUAAUGAACCGUGAGGCUUAACCUUACAACGCCGAAGAUGUUUUG
rnacentral:rRNA from 1 species